rnacentral:rRNA from 1 species
UACAACAGCUGUAAUUUACUUGAUCUUGACAAUCCUACUUGGAUAACUGAGGUAAUUCUUGAGCUAAUACAUGCACCAAAGCUCUGACCUYACGGGAAGAGUGCAUUUAUUAGAACAAAACCAAGCGGCUUCCGUCGUUUUUUGUUGACUCAGAAUAACUCAGCUGAUCGCAUGGUCUUGCACCGGCGACGUGUCUUUCAAGCAUCUGCCUUAUCAACUUUCGAUGGUAGCGUAUCGGACUACCAUGGUGGUGACGGGUAACGGAGGAUAAGGGUUCGACUCCGGAGAAGGGGCCUGAGAAAUGGCCACUACGUCUAAGGAUGGCAGCAGGCGCGCAAAUUACCCACUCUCAGUGCGAGGAGGUAGUGACGAAAAAUAACGAGGUUGUUCUCUUUGAGGCCAACCAUCGGAAUGGGUACAAUCUAAACCCUUUAACGAGUAUCUAUGAGAGGGCAAGUCUGGUGCCAGCAGCCGCGGUAAUUCCAGCUCUCAAAAUGCAUAGAAUCAUUGCUGCGGUUAAAAAGCUCGUAGUUGGAUCUGUGCCGGGGACUUGGUCCACUUUCGGGUGCGUACUGAGCUUCCCGGCUUUCGGCUGGUUUUCCUUUCGUUGCCUUCACUGGUGGCGUUAGGUGGCUGGCGCGUUUACUUUGAAUAAAUCAGAGUGCUUAACACAGGCGUUUMGCUUGAAUGUUCGUGCAUGGAAUAAUAGAAGAGGAUUUCGGUUCUAUUUUAUUGGUUUUCUGGACUGAGAUAAUGGUUAACAGAGACAYAACGGGGGCAUUCGUAUUGCUGCGUGAGAGGUGAAAUUCUUGGACCGCAGCAAGACGAACUACAGCGAAAGCAUUUGCCAA